rnacentral:rRNA from 1 species
UACAGAGGUCCCGAGCGUUGUUCGGAUUCACUGGGCGUAAAGGGUGCGUAGGUGGUGGGGUAAGUCUCGUGUGAAAGCUCGCAGCUUAACUGCGAAAAGUCACGGGAUACUAUUCCGCUGGAGGCUUGGAGGGGGGACUGGAAUACUUGGUGUAGCAGUGAAAUGCGUAGAUAUCAGGAGGAACACCCGUGGCGAAAGCGGCUCUCUGGGACGGUACUGACGCUGAGACGCGAAAGCGUGGGGAGCAAACAGG